rnacentral:lncRNA from 1 species
UUUGAGCGUGCAUUUUUCCGCAGCGUUUCCGAAACCAUCAAAAUAAAAACAAAGUGAAUUUUUGUUUCGGCCAGUUUGCUCCGUUUUGUCGUCUUCGUUGUUCCAGAGAAAAAGUGAUGAGACUCCUUAAUUGGCAGAAGAAAUACUCUCUACAACCCCCCAGCAGUCUGGUGCCGCAUGAAAAACAGGCCCCCUGAGCUGCGGCCAAACCACAGACUACAGCCAUGGAACCAUCGCUAGUUUCUAUACUCUAGAUUGCUGUGAAAUCGAACCAAUGAAACGGAUUUUCAUCUACGCACAAGGAAAAAUCAAGCACCAGCAGAAGGUCAUCCAAGCGCAAUUUUUUUUCUAAAUCACCGGAGGUGCAAGCGAUAAUGCAGAGCUUCACCGGGAAAACUUCGGCAACAUAUGAAACCUAACCGGAAAGGGAUGAGAGAUAUGAUCGUGAUGUGGUGUAUUACUUCCGGGACAACCCCCUCCCUUCGCUUCGUAACGGCUUUUGUACGAAAAUUUUGUAUAAGUCAUAACGCUCGAGCCUAUUUCAUCCCCCCCCUCGAAAGUUACGCAAUUUGGGGACGGCACCUAAAUAAUUCUGAAUUCCGACUGAGAAUUAUUUUUAUUAUUGAUAUUAUUUUGAAUUUAAAGACUCGUUGCUUAAUACGUAAAUAAUAAAAGCAUGAAUUGAAAAAAGUUAAGUUAUAAAUGUUUAAUUAUUUCAAAUCAGAAAUAAUGGAACAAAUAGAACAUGUAGCAUGAAUCUGCUUCUGAAGAGAAAUAGUUGAAAUUGUGAUUAAAUUGCGUGAUUUGUGUACGUUUCAAUUGAAGUUGAUUUUUCUACACGUAUCUAAUUGUUUCAUUAUUUUGAUUCAUUCUAAAAUAAUUUUACCUAGAUAUAAACAUAUCAGUACAGUACAGGAUACGGUCAAAU